AUUGAACGCUGGCGGAAUGCUUUACACAUGCAAGUCGAACGGUAGAGGGGGCAACCCCUUGAGAGUGGCGAACGGGUGAGUAAUAUAUCGGAACGUGCCCAGUCGUGGGGAUAACGUAGCGAAAGUUACGCUAAUACCGCAUACGAUCUAAGGAUGAAAGCGGGGGAUCGCAAGACCUCGCGCGAUUGGAGCGGCCGAUAUCAGAUUAGGUAGUUGGUGAGGUAAAGGCUCACCAAGCCAACGAUCUGUAGCUGGUCCGAGAGGACGACCAGCCACACUGGAACUGAGACACGGCCCAGACUCCUACGGGAGGCAGCAGUGGGGGAAUUUUGGACAAUGGACGCAAGUCUGAUCCAGCCAUUCCGCGUGCAGGAUGAAGGCCCUCGGGUUGUAAACUGCUUUUGUACGGAACGAAAGGUUUCUAUUAAUACUAGGAGCUCAUGACGGUACCGUAAGAAUAAGCACCGGCUAACUACGUGCCAGCAGCCGCGGUAA
rnacentral:rRNA from 1 species